rnacentral:rRNA from 1 species
GACGAACGCUGGCGGCGUGCCUAAUACAUGCAAGUAGAACGCUGAAGGAGGAGCUUGCUUCUCCGGAUGAGUUGCGGACGGGUGAGUAACGCGUAGGUAACCUGCCUGGUAGCGGGGGAUAACUAUUGGAAACGAUAGCUAAUACCGCAUAACAGUAGAUGUUGCAUGACAUUUGCUUAAAAGGUGCAAUUGCAUCACUACCAGAUGGACCUGCGUUGUAUUAGCUAGUUGGUGAGGUAACGGCUCACCAAGGCGACGAUACAUAGCCGACCUGAGAGGGGGAUCGGCCACGCUGGGAGUGGGACAGGGCCCAGACUCCUACGGGAGGCAGCAGUAGGGAACCUUCGGCAAUGGACGGAAGUCUGACCGUGCAACGCCGCGUGAGUGAAGAAGGUUUUCGGAUCGUCAAGCUCUGUUGUAAGAUAAGAACGAGUGUGAGAGUGGACCGUUCACACUGUGACGGUAUCUUACCAGAAAGCGCCGGCUAACUCCGUG